rnacentral:rRNA from 1 species
AUUGAACGCUGGCGGCAGGCCUAACACAUGCAAGUCGAGCGGAUGAAGGGAGCUUGCUCCUGGAUUCAGCGGCGGACGGGUGAGUAAUGCCUAGGAAUCUGCCUGGUAGUGGGGGAUAACGUCCGGAGACGGGCGCUAAUACCGCAUACGUCCUGAGGGAGAAAGUGGGGGAUCUUCGGACCUCACGCUCUCAGAUGAGCCUAGGUCGGAUUAGCUAGUUGGUGGGGUAAAGGCCUACCAAGGCGACGAUCCGUAACUGGUCUGAGAGGAUGAUCAGUCACACUGGAACUGAGACACGGUCCAGACUCCUACGGGAGGCAGCAGUGGGGAAUAUUGGACAAUGGGCGAAAGCCUGAUCCAGCCAUGCCGCGUGUGUGAAGAAGGUCUUCGGAUUGUAAAGCACUUUAAGUUGGGAGGAAGGGCAGUAAGUUAAUACCUUGCUGUUUUGACGUUACCAACAGAAUAAGCACCGGCUAACUUCGUG